AUGGAUGAGUUCUCAUAUCAUUCUGAGAUCUCAGAUCUGUCAAGGAAAAGAGCAAAGCCAAGAAGAGACAAACUCGGAGAUGAAUCUGCUACACGUAUUUCAAAGGUAAUAAUGAACCUAGUAGUUGCGCACACCUAUGGAGUACAUGAAGACCAACUGUACGCUGCACAAAAGAAAGAACCAACUAAAGAGGAAUUAAUUGAAGUUCAGUUUGGAAAGCAAAGUUGCCAAAUGAUUAAUGAAUUGCUAGCACCAAAAGGAGUCGCACAGUCGUACACACAACUCAUGAAACAGAUGACUCUCAUGAGUCAUCUUCAAAGUGACAACAUGACAAUCCCUAUAACAAGUUUCACUUCGCUCUUGACAACAGGCAUCGAUACUCAGAUCACCACAAAAUAG
rnacentral:rRNA from 1 species